rnacentral:sRNA from 1 species
GGCCGGUAAUUACAGUAUGAACUUCGACGAGUUGGGUUACUUCGUUAUCUUGAUAUAAUAUUUUUCUCAACAAGAGCUUUGUGACCACAAAAAUGUUAAAUCUGGUCAAAAAGCUAAACUAAGACAAAGAGAGAGACACACACACGUCCGUCUAUUAGGCAAGAAUGAAGUAUCUUUAACUCUCUCUCUCUAUAAAAUUCUAUAUGCAUGACAUCCCAAAGCACUACCGCUCCAUACGGUUUCGCUUCCUUCAUACAGUUUUUAAUUUGACUUCCUCAGAAAGGAUGAGAACAAGAGAUGGAUAGACUUUUUCAGGAUAGAACAACAAAAUCACCAACUUCACUUGUUUUUUGUUUUUCCAUAUCAUUUCAAAAUCUAUCUUUCCAUACCAUGUUUUGCCAUUGAAAUAUUUUUUAUCAGAACCCAUAAAUUUUAAAAAUUUGGAUCGUAAAAAGUCAGAAUCUCAAAUGUUCUUCAUCAUUUGUAGAUCUUAAACCUUAUUUCUCUUCUUUGUGCUUUUUUUUCAGUUU